CAGGUGCGGCUGGUCACCGGCCUUGUCCUGUUUGCCUAUGUCAUCAGCCAUUUCGCCAAUCACGCACUCGGCAAUGUCUCGCUCGGCGCGAUGGACGAUGGCCUCUAUUAUNNNNNNGGUGUUCUGGAAGAGCUGGCCGAUGACCAUCGUGCUCUACGGCUCGGUGGCGAUACAUCUGGGCCUGGGAAUCUGGGCGCUCUAUGCGCGCCGGCACUU
rnacentral:misc_RNA from 1 species